UCCAGCUAUAGACAACUGCCUAGGUUGUCUUGUACCUAGGCAAGUGUUACACUUCUGGGAGAAAAGCAGUCAAUAGCUGGCGGGCAUU
ensembl:snoRNA SNORA74 Small nucleolar RNA SNORA74